rnacentral:rRNA from 1 species
CCUACGGGUGUCAGCAGUGAGGAAUAUUGGUCAAUGGACGUAAGCCUGACCCAUCCAAGUCGCGUUCAGGAUGACGGCUCUAUGAGUUGUAAACUUCUUUUAUACAGGAAUAAAGUGAGCUACGUGUCCCUUUUUGUAUGUACCUUAUGAAUAAGGAUCUGCUAACUCCGUGCCAGCAGCCGCGGUAAUACGGAGGAUUCACGCGUUAUCCGGAUUUAUUGGGUUUACAGUGUGCGUAGAUGGGUUGUUAAGUCAGUUGUGAAAGUCUGAGGCUCAACCGUAAAAUUGCCAUUGAUACUGGUCGGCUUGAGGACAGUUGCGGUAGGCGGAAUUCGUGGUGUAGCGGUGAAAUGCUUAGAUAUCACGCAGAACUCCGAUUGCGAAGGCAGCCUACUAAACUACCAAUGACGUUGAUGCUCGAAAGUGUGGGUAUCAAACAGGAUUAGAUACCCGGGUAGUC